GGGGUGAGUAACACGUGGAUAACCUACCUAUAAGACUGGGAUAACUUCGGGAAACCGGAGCUAAUACCGGAUAAUAUUUUGGACCGCAUGAUUCAAAGCGAAAGACGGUCUUGCUGUCACUUAUAGAUGGAUCCGCGCUGCAUUGGCUAGUUGGUAAGGUAACGGCUUACCAAGGCAACGAUGCAUAGCCGACCUGAGAGGGUGAUCGGCCACACUGGAACUGAGACACGGUCCAG
rnacentral:rRNA from 1 species